UACGGAAGGCAGCAGUGGGGAAUAUUGCACAAUGGGCGCAAGCCUGGUGCAGCCAUGCCGCGUGUAUGAAGAAGGCCUUCGGGUUGUAAAGUACUUUCAGUCGUGAGGAAGGUGUUAAGGUUAAUAACCUUAGCAAUUGACGUUAGCGACAGAAGAAGCACCGGCUAACUCCGUGCCAGCAGCCGCGGUAAUACGGAGGGUGCGAGCGUUAAUCGGAAUUACUGGGCGUAAAGGGCACGCAGGCGGUUAAUUAAGUUGGAUGUGAAAUCCCCGGGCUUAACCUGGGAAUGGCAUUCAAGACUGGUUAGCUAGAGUCUUGUAGAGGGGGGUAGAAUUCCAUGUGUAGCGGUGAAAUGCGUAGAGAUGUGGAGGAAUACCGGUGGGCGAAGGCGGCCCCUGGGACAAAGGACUGACGCUCAUGUGCGAAAGCGUGGGGAGCAAACAGGGAUUAGAUACC
rnacentral:rRNA from 1 species